GUUUAGUUGCCUGUUCGCACUGCAUUGUCGUCACGGUUAGUUUAUUCUUUAUUUGUUUUGUAUUUGCUUGAGUUUCACUUUAUUCAUUAAAAGUAUGUGUACGCUGCGCCUUGGUGCGAUCAUUAAUUUGAACAACGUGACAGAAUAUCCCAUCACACCAGGAGCAAGCAGUGUGCUACAAUGGUGAAAAUAAGUUAGACCUGGGAGUAAAUAAUGGAAGGACAGGAGAUCCUCCCUUGGCAGGAGUCACAGCAGACGGAAGGAGAUAAUGGAGAACAGAGACGACGCCAGGGUUCGCGGCCACGACGCAAGCCCAAGAUGCAGCCUCUAAAAAAAAAUUGGGGGUGGCACACGAAGUGAUCGGCAAUGCCAAGGGGUGAGUCAGAGACCGAGGAGGAAUAUUGGGACAGAUUGAGUGAGGAGUGGUCGGCGAAAGUUGAGGGGAGUGAACCAGAGACUGUCAGUGAGUUGAGGGAGAAUGUGGAGGAGAGAGAAAUGAGUUAUUGAAUUGGUGGAUGAUGCACGACAUACAUUUGCCCUAAGGAGCGUGUUAUCAAUUUAAAGCCACCUGAGUCAGCUCUCCGUACUCAUCCUGAGAAGUAUGUUAAAGUUCCGGUACAAGUGAUGCCGGAUAUGCGCACCAGGUCUCCAGUACGCCUUCCCAGCCCAGUACGUCCUGUGCCAGCUCCUCGCACUUGCUGGGUGAGGUGUGUCAUCGAACCAGUACCAUUGAUGCCGCUAUACUCACCAGGUCUCCAGUACGUCUCCACAGCCCAGUACGUCCUGUGCUGCUCCUUGCACUCUCCCUCAAGUGAGUCUUCCCAGUCAGGUGCGUCCUGUGCCUCCUCCCCACACUCGCCCUGAAGUGCGUGUCACUAGUCCAGUGCCACCUGUACUGGCCCCACGCAUCAGGACUCCAGUGCGCCUCCCCAGUCCAGUACGUCCUGUGCCUGCUCCCCGCACUCGCCCUGAGGUGCAUGUCACCAGCCCGGUACCACCAGUGUCGGCCCCACCCACCAGGCUUCCUGCGAAGAUCCCCAGUCCGGAGCUUCCGGCGACAGUGCUUCCGGCGACAGUGCCCAGUCCGGAGCCUCCGGCGACGUUUCACGGUCCGGAACCUCCUGCGACAGUCAACGGUAUGAAACCUCCAGCUCCAUGGCAGGAGCCCUCCUCUACGCCGAUGCCCAGUCCAGACACGGCAUCCAGCCUGGGUCCAUGGCUAGAUCCGCAGGAGGAGUGGGUUCUUCGACCCCGCACCAGAGCCACCACCAAAGAUGGGUGAUCCGAGAGCCGAGAACUGUCGCGGAGCUGCCUCACACCACAUAGCAACCACUCUCCAUUCCAUUAAUUGCAUCUCUUUUUCUCCAUUGAUCAGAGGUCCAUUACCUCAGUCUCUCAUUCUGAGACUUUAGAUGAGCUGAAAUGCACAUAUAAAAUGAUCACACUGGCUCUCAGCCAUUUCAGUGUGUAAUAUGUGAUCUUGAUUGAUCCUCCAUUUUUCUCUACCCCAAAGGGCUCUUAUUACAAGUCCCAGGUCCUGAGAAGUCAUUUUUUUAAAUUCAACGGCUUCAUCAUAGUCCUGUUUGGAGCAAGGCCACGAUGGAACAGAAUAUUGCACCUUGGUGGAUCUUGACUGUGAUAGCGGUGUGCAGAGCACUGGCUCACGUGGAAGGCAUAGCUUAAGAAAAUCUCAGCAGCAGCUAUGGAACACAUAUGACACAGCUCAAAGAAGGACACUGUUGUACGCUCUUGGACUGGCUGGAUCAGCAGUAGGGGACACAGAGACCACAGGAAGUGGAGAUGGCCAUGCUUUAAUUCUCAGAUGGCUGGUUAAAGAGACUACACUUGCUGUUGACAUAGAGGGGAUCCCCACCCACUGGAAAUUUUCUCUAAUAAGGCAAAAACAAAAUCUCAGCCUCAUGGCAAAAUGUGCAACGACAAAAUGUUCUCUGUCUCAUAUGGCAGGGUGUGUAGAAUAGCAUGAGAUUAGCAAUAAUAAUAAUUUUUCUUUGGCCCAUGGCAAAUGUCAGGGAAUUUAGCUGUUUUGUUUUUGGGUUAGACCCGAAAAUCUGAGCAGUAGAUCUCAGUUUGCAUUUUGAAUCAGAAAGUGAUCUUGACUCCGAAAAGGUUGGUGACCACUGCUCUAGUGUUUGAAAGGACCCCAGGCGUAACAUUAAUCCAGUGAAGAGUGAAUGGGAAGAAGAAUAUGAAGUCAAUCGAAGAGACCAGCUCCAUCCAAAGUGUUUACAUGCUUGCUGUGUUCCAGCACUACUGGGCCACCACUGUGGCUCUUUGCGUUUGACAUGGAUGCCCCACUGUGCUGCCCCCAGAACCCUGGACUGUCUGGCUUUAACAUCCAGGAGCUUAACAGAGGGGCCAACAUACCUCCGAGCACCGCUGCUCAACUCCACUCCAGUGCACUAACACCAGCCUGGUCUCAUAGGCUAGAUGUAACAUAGUAAAUAUAAAUCCGGCACACUCAAAUUAGUAUGGUUACAUGAGACAGAAGGUUACUUAAGGCAAAAACAAAAGUUGGGUGGUUUGGUGGCGUAUAAGCAGCCCAAAGAUUGCGUGAUCGAAUCUCAUCACAGACAACUUUAGCAUUUUAGCUAAAUAGAAGCUACUUUGCAACUAAACUCAGCAAAAAAAGAAACGUCCCCUUUUCAGGACCCUGUCUUUCAAAGAUAAUUAAUCAAAAUCCAAAUAACUUCAUAUCUUCAUUGUAAAGGGUUUAAACACUGUUUCCCAUGCUUGUUCAAUGAACCAUAAACAAUUAAUGAGCAUGCACCUGUAGAAUGGUCGUUAAUACACUAACAGCUUACAGACGGUAUGCAAUUAAGGUCACAGUUAUGAAAACUUAGGACACUAAAGAGGCCUUUCUACUGACUCUGAAAAACACCAAAAGAAAGAUGCCCAGGCUUCCUGCUCAUCUGCGUGAACGUGGCAUGCUGCAAGGAGGCAUAAGGACUGCAGAUGUGGCCAGGGCAAUAAAUUGAAAUAUCUAAACUGUGAGACGCCGAAGACAGUGCUACAGGGAGACAGGAUGGACAGCCCCCCAGAAAUGUCUGGGAACUUGCAGGUGCCUUGGUGGAAGAGUGGGGUAACAUCUCACAGCAAGAACUGCCAAAUCUGAUGCAGUCCAUGAGGAGGAGAUGCACUGCAGUACUUAAUGCAGCUGGUGGCCACACCAGAUACUGACUGUUACUUUUGAUUUUGACCCCCCCUUUGUUCAGGGACACAUUAUUCAAUUUCUGUUAGUCACAUGUCUGUGGAACUUGUUCAGUUUAUGUCUCAGUUGUUGAAUCUGGUUAUGUUCAUACAAAUAUUUACACAUGUUAAGUUUGCUGAAAAUAAAUGCGGUUAGAGG